UGGGGAAUUUUGGACAAUGGGCGAAAGCCUGAUCCAGCCAUGCCGCGUGCAGGAUGAAGGCCUUCGGGUUGUAAACUGCUUUUGUACGGAACGAAAAGACUCUGGUUAAUACCUGGGGUCCAUGACGGUACCGUAAGAAUAAGCACCGGCUAACUACGUGCCAGCAGCCGCGGUAAUACGUAGGGUGCAAGCGUUAAUCGGAAUUACUGGGCGUAAAGCGUGCGCAGGCGGUUAUAUAAGACAGAUGUGAAAUCCCCGGGCUCAACCUGGGAACUGCAUUUGUGACUGUAUAGCUAGAGUACGGCAGAGGGGGAUGGAAUUCCGCGUGUAGCAGUGAAAUGCGUAGAUAUGCGGAGGAACACCGAUGGCGAAGGCAAUCCCCUGGGCCUGUACUGACGCUCAUGCACGGAAAGCGUGGGGAGCAAACGGGAUUAGAUA
rnacentral:rRNA from 1 species